rnacentral:lncRNA from 1 species
AUUUAUAAGAGGGAUCAAGUAAUGCCUGGAUGAAUUCAUGAACAUUUGAUCUAGAUCUUAAAUAACUGAUGGAAUUUUGCCAAAAGAGAGAGAACAAUUAAAGCAAAGAGAAUUAUAUAUGUAAAAACAUACAAAUGGAGAUAUGAGAAUAAUGCCAUUGGGGUGGCUGGAAGAGGGGCAGGGCAGAGGGGGUGGGGAUCAUAAUACGAGGCUAGAAAAACACUGGUGAGGGAGAUGAUUAUUGGGGAAGGACUGUACUGCCUAACUCAAGGGUGAGGAUUUACUUUUGUAGAUAAUGAGGAUCCACCAAGCCUAAAGCAGAGGCACGAUCAGAUCUAUGUUACUAGAAUAUUCCUCUGAGCUGCCAAGAUAACAAUGAGAAUGAUUGGAAGAGCUGAGGGAACAGAGGAAGAGAGGUGAAGCUAGGAUCUCAGAAUGUAUCUGAAGAGUUGAGAAUUUACCAAGAUCUUAAGACAUACAGGCUUUGGCUCCUAAUUAGAUUACUCCGCAAAUGUUAAUUCACUUUCUUUUGUCUCUUCUCCCUACCCGCCUCAAUCUUGUUUAAGCCCAGAGUAAGCAGUUGAGUUGGAGCUAAUCAUUGACCAGGAUUUUGCAGAACCAGGGUGGCCUGGCACAGAUGCACUGAUGAGGGAUGAACUAAAAGCAGCUACAAGUGGCUGCAUCAUGAAGGAUCAAGGGCAGGCUGCAGCAACGGGCCAACACAAGGACGUCAUCUCACCAAGGGCUGCGUUUGAGGUAGGGCUACUCAAAUUAGGUGAAAGCCCUAAGAAUUGCCUGGUCUCUGGAGCAGCGUCAGCAAGGGACAGCUUCAUGCUGGGCAGGCUGACCAGGUGCUGGAAAGGUACAAGGCUUGGCAAUGAGGUUUGCAAUCCUGUUGGCAAUUUUCUACAACUUUUUAAACUGGGACAGCUUAAUUAG